rnacentral:rRNA from 1 species
UAGGGAAUCUUCGGCAAUGGGGGUAACCCUGACCGAGCAACGCCGCGUGAGUGAAGAAGGUUUUCGGAUCGUAAAGCUCUGUUGUUAAGGAAGAACGAGUGUGAGAAUGGAAAGUUCAUGCUGUGACGGUACUUAACCAGAAAGGGACGGCUAACUACGUGCCAGCAGCCGCGGUAAUACGUAGGUCCCGAGCGUUGUCCGGAUUUAUUGGGCGUAAAGCGAGCGCAGGCGGUUAGAAAAGUCUGAAGUGAAAGGCAGUGGCUCAACCAUUGUAGGCUUUGGAAACUGUUUAACUUGAGUGCAGGAGGGGAGAGUGGAAUUCCAUGUGUAGCGGUGAAAUGCGUAGAUAUAUGGAGGAACACCGGUGGCGAAAGCGGCUCUCUGGUCUGUAACUGACGCUGAGGCUCGAAAGCGUGGGGAGCGAACAGG